rnacentral:rRNA from 1 species
GAGUCCCUACGGAAGGCGGCAGUAGGGAAUCUUCCACAAUGGGCGAAAGCCUGAUGGAGCAACGCCGCGUGGGUGAAGAAGAUCUUCGGAUCGUAAAACCCUGUUGUUAGAGAAGAAAGUGCGUGAGAGUAACUGUUCACGUUUCGACGGUAUCUAACCAGAAAGCCACGGCUAACUACGUGCCAGCAGCCGCGGUAAUACGUAGGUGGCAAGCGUUAUCCGGAUUUAUUGGGCGUAAAGGGAACGCAGGCGGUCUUUUAAGUCUGAUGUGAAAGACUUAGGCUUAACCGGAGUAGUGCAUUGGA